AUGAAGACGAAAAAUGCACCUGGAUACGGUUCAUGCAGUCGCGGUGACGUGUUGGUUCUGCUGCAUCCAAAACAACAUUUUGUAAAAUGCUGCGGGCUAAAAUUCCGCCUCACACGCAGCACCGCUCAUAACAAGGGAAAACUGUCAUGUAAACAAACCAUUAGCUGUCGUAAACAGAAUAUUUUCACUGCUAAAAUGAAAAAAACAAAACAAAAAAAAACCCCUAUCUGCACAUCAGAGACCACAGCAAAGUGUCGGUAUUACACACAAAUGAGAAACAUCAUUAAAGUGUGGGCUGCUGGUGAGACGCAGACUGAGCAAGUUAGCGAGGGCACUCAAGAUGAUCGAGUAUCGCUAUGAGCACAGCAACCCACAUGGAGAAACAGGGGCGGCUAAAGGAACCUUAAACAAUAUACAUGUAUAUCAAGCGCACACAAAAUUGGCAAAAAAACAUCUGUAGUUCUGAUAUAAACCAAGAAUAUAUUAAAAAACUCAACAAAUCUGCUUCAUCAGAGCUGUGUGGGUGUGAUGUGUGUGUGUCCUUAAACACUCCCUCAGUCACUUAAUCUCUCUGUAUCAACACGACAAAGGUAUUUAACGCUACUUCAGAGGCGACAUCCUCCACAACUGUCGGACUCAUGGCUUUCUGCACCACCUCAUACAGCUGGCGCCCCCGGUUUUCCCGCCUCUUCCCCUCAAAGAUCUCGAGUCGGCCUCUGAUCAUCACUUCCAGUCUUCUUUCAUUUUCUUCCCAUCCACAUACUGAGAUGUAUCUCAUUUUGGGAUUGCUCGCUAAAAGCAGCGUACGCUUGUUGGACACUACCUCUUCAUUCCAUUGUGGGAUUUCUUGAGGACGCUGAGUGGCGGAUACAUUUCACACUGAGAAAUCAGACUUUCACAUGAAAUGGCGGCACUGCUCAGUAAUUACAGGGGGACUUCAGAGAGAUCGUAUGUGUGUGAUUUGAUCAGAUUUGAUUGACAGUGGUUUCCAACCAUAAACUUUUGAUUGGUCCACAGUGACAUCAUCUUUCUUCAGACACCCGCCCACUUCAAACCAGUCAUAAAAGCACAUUUUCUUUUAGGUAAAAAAUGAUGAAAUGAAAUAAUUACUGAUGAUAACUGAGCCAUCGCCA
rnacentral:lncRNA from 1 species